UUCUUCUUCUCUCCUCUUCACCAUUUUCGUUCUUGUUCCCCCUAAUCAUGCAAAUCCUCUCCAUCAAGGAAUAAAAUCUCCUGAUUUUUCCUCUUACAAAUUAGGGCUUUGUAUUCCCAGUCUCUCACCACUCUUGUCGCCGUCCUUUGAGGUCCAGCCACUGCCGCCAGGUGCCGCCACGUUCAACCUAAGGAUACUGCCGAUUCUGCCCAUUAUUGUUCAGCUCUUUGCUCUUCUGCCAUUUCUGUAUUAUAAAGAUGUAAUGUCCUGUAGUACUUAAGAAUGAAACUUGAGGAACGCCCACACACCAGCCUGCCCCUCUCGUUGCAACCAAUAUCGGGCAUAAACAUGCCAAGCAAGCUAGAUUUACUAUGCAAUUUCUACUUCCAUUCAUACGACCUUAAUAUC